rnacentral:rRNA from 1 species
GUCCAUGCCGUGACCGUUGAGUGUUAGAAAUUGAAAUCAGUUUCUCAGCUAAUGCAUUAAACACUCCACCUGGGGACUAUGGUCGCAAGAUUAAAACUCAAAAGAAUUGACUGAGGUUUGUACAAGCGGUGGAGCAUGUGGUUUAAUUCGAUAUAGAUCGAUAAAUCUUACCAGUUUUUGAAGGUAAAUUUUAAGAUUUUAAAUCUUAAAUUCUUGAAAUAUAAAAUUAGUUAUAUUUCAAGAAUAAAUUUACA